UACAGAGGUCUCGAGCGUUGUUCGGAUUCAUUGGGCGUAAAGCGUGCGUAGGUGGUUCGUUGUGUCUGUGGUGAAAGCCCCGGGCUUAACCUGGGAAUGGCCAUGGAAACUGGCGAGCUGGAGUCUGGCAGAGGGGGGUGGAAUUCCGCGUGUAGCAGUGAAAUGCGUAGAGAUGCGGAGGAACACCGAUGGCGAAGGCAGCCCCCUGGGCUAAGACUGACGCUGAGGCACGAAAGCGUGGGGAGCAAACAGG
rnacentral:rRNA from 1 species